rnacentral:rRNA from 1 species
AACGAACGCUGGCGGCAGGCCUAACACAUGCAAGUCGAACGCUCCGCAAGGGGAGUGGCGCACGGGUGAGUAACACGUGGGAACCUACCUUCUGGUACGGAACAACCAAGGGAAACUUUGGCUAAGACCGUAUACGACCUCCGGGUGAAAGAUUGAUCGCCGGAAGAGGGGCCCGCGUCCGAUUAGGUAGUUGGUGAGGUAACGGCUCACCAAGCCUUCGAUCGGUAGCUGGUCUGAGAGGAUGACCAGCCACAUUGGGACUGAGACACGGCCCAGACUCCUACGGGAGGCAGCAGUGGGGAAUCUUGCGCAAUGGGCGAAAGCCUGACGCAGCGACGCCGCGUGUGGGAUGACGGCC